rnacentral:tRNA from 1 species
AGCGGGGUAGAGCAGUCCGGUAGCUCGCCAGGCUCAUAACCUGGAGGUCGUGGGUUCAAAUCCCACCCCCGCAACCA